rnacentral:misc_RNA from 1 species
UCUACCUUGGGAGUAUUGAAUCAAAAUGAUUUUGCAAAACGCUUUAGACAUUAAACAUAAUAUCUACAGAAAGAGAAUCAACUCACUUAUGGCAACAAAAUAAAAUUGAAAUUGCGAAAAAUAAAAAGUGAAGCGCUGCCGAGAAAAACGUGAGAAUUUCACCAAUAUCAGAGUCACGUGCUACGAAAAGUGAGACGAAAAUAAAGAAGCAAAUACGCUGUACAUGACAAGAGAAACAAUGAUUAACUGUACUUUGUUAUUUCAAUUUUAAGACACUUUCGCGCAUUCGUGCUUAUUUUGUAAAUGCACAGUACAGAUAAUAGCAUAGUCUAUACUAACAAAUUUAUGUUAAAAGACGGAACAACAUCAUCAUUUGACAGAUUAAUUAUAAAGCUGAUAUUACACGUCAGCUGCAAAGUCAUCAAUAAUAGGUGUCGCUUCCGUCACUGCCGCCAUUACCACUCUCGAGACGUCAUCGUUUAACCUAUAUCUAAAAAGUAAGUCAAUUCAUCGACCUGUGACUUUCAGCGCGUACUACCAGCCGCGUGCAACAAAAGCGAAUCGCAUGCACUUGACGGUGAACGUGACAAAGUCUGCCGCGGAUGAUGCGCCGAUUGCAAAUGUCAAACAAGAAAAAUGCCGGACUCGACUCAAAGUGGGUCGUGUCGACAAAGAAAGCGAGGCGAGGCGAGGCGAGACCUCCCGCACGUUUUUCCGAUAGCUUUUAUCCGCGCAGUUAUGUCGGUUAGUUUCGUUUCUGGCGCGUUAUGGAAGCGCGCCAUUUGGUAUUCAGGCCUCAACGCCCACCCGAUAUAAUAUGCCAAACGUUGCGCGCCGUCAUGAGACGAGAGGCCGAAUAAUAUUCGAACGUUAGAUUGUACUCACGAAUCGAUAUUCGCCUACGCGAAUCAGUGCGUAUGAUUGCUCUCGAUAAUCUCAAUGAUGAUGGCGAGCUUCUUCUCGCACAACGGAGGGAAAACUGGAGGACUGCGACUCGCGUUCCCGCAAGAUACAGGGUGACUAGACGUUCUGAUUUUUGAGGACGUAUCCUUCUUUUCCUUUGGAUAUCCUCGAAUGUCUCUAGAUGUUUCUAAAUGUCGCAAAUACGUUUCAAAUUGCUCUUAAGUUUCAAAAACUUACAAUUAGCCCGUGAAAAUCAAAGACUAUAUAGUGCGCGCGCGGCCGGGCGAGAUUGAUGUUUCUCACUGAACGGGAAUGUAUGUUUUAGGCACGUCUUCGACGGAAGAAACGAAAUUGAGUUUCAUAGGUAUAAUGGGCUCAUCGAUGAUUUCUACGUUAAUCUCACAUAGAGAACGACCACUAUGCUCGGACCGGAGUUUGCGAGCGGUUGCCAGGGUCGGCCAGGCGGUAAAUUUGGCGGUCGAGAGAUUCGUGACCGUCGGCGAAACUAUCGCGGACGACAACCCGGAGAUCAAACAAGACAUGUACGAGGCGUGCAAAGAGGCGAGGGUUGCAGGCUCAGCAAUCGAGAAAUUAUGCGAAUGUGCCUUGGAAGACAGCUUGGCUGACCGAGGUUCCGUCGUAAGAGCUGCCAGAUGUCUCCUAGGCUCAGUGACAAAAGUCCUCCUCCUGGCAGACAUCGUCGUGGUCAAUCAAUUGCUUCAUGCCAAGGAUAAGGUCGCCCGCAGUCUCGGGCGUCUCGAAAGUGUCUCGAAUUUCACAGAAUUCGUCAAGGCGUUUAGCCAAUUUGGAGGAGAGAUGGUCGAGUUGGCACAUUUAACGGGUGAUCGUCAGAAUGAUCUCAAAGACGAGAGGCGACGCGCGCAAAUGGCAGCGGCCCGACAAGUAUUAGAGAGAAGCACCAUGAUGCUACUCACGUCCAGCAAGACAUGUCUAAGGCACCCCGAGUGUCCAUCCGCUAAGGAGAACAGAGACACCGUUUUUUGCCAAAUGAGAAGAGCGAUGGAUCUGAUACAUUACGUUGUCAAGGACGGAGUAUUAGACUGUAGCGAAUCUCAAUCCUACUCGAAUUCACAGAGUCCGCAGCAGGAAGACUGGGAUAGCAGUACCGUUUGCUCAGCUUUGAAACACUUCGAAAGGCUCGUCGAAACAACGAGGAUGACCCUGCUAGGACCGGGUUGUCGCGAAACACUUACAUCAGCGCUUGAAACAGUGGUCGAGAGGACACAAGACUUCACCGACAGCGCUUAUACGAGUCACGAGCACAGAGAAAAUAUUCUUCUGCUUUGUGAUCGCGCGAAACUCGAGCUCAAUACACUCUUACGGAUCGGCAAUAGUAUGAAUUACGAGGGCGGCGGGGGUUCACCCAGCUCGGAAAUGGAACAAGCGGUGAUGGGUGUGUUACGGGCGACUAGAGACCUUCGCCAGCAACUCAGCGCGACGACGAUGGAACAGGCCGGCGAUCUUGGCCAAGUGACAAAAGCCGGUCAGGAACUCGUGUCAACGAUCAGAAAUCUCGCGUUGGCCAAUGACAUCGACCGUCUACAAGAGAGCAGCGACAGGUUCCACGAGUAUAUCGAACACAUUCUCGAAGUAUGCAAACUUCUAAGACACGUUGCGCUUUCGGAAUCGUUGCAAGUGUCGGCCAAGUUCACGGAGAUCAACUUAAGAAUAUAUGGUCCUCAAGUCGUAACGGCCGCGCAUACGUUAGCCAGGCAUCCCACCAGUAAAAUAGCCAAGGAAAAUCUCGAAGUAUUUGCUGACAUGUGGCAGUGGCUCAUGACUGAUGUGACGACAGUAGCGAAAGAUGUUUUGGAACUCAGUCAAAACCGGCCAGAGAAGCAGGUUUACAUGUCUUUACCGCGGCCAGGGAAACAUGGUACGACGAGCAAACCGUUAAAACCAGUACGGUUGGACAGCGAGGAGCAGGCAAAGAUCGCUAAGGCAGGACUCGAGAUGAAAUUGAUAACCUCGGAGAUGGAUGCCGAGACGGAAAAGUGGCAGGAGAGCGGAAGCGCUCUAGAAGAGAACAACGACAUCGUAAAACGAGCGAAGAAUAUGUCGUCGAUGGCAUUCUCGAUGUACCAAUUCACGCGAGGCGAAGGCGCCCUGAAGACCACCCAGGACCUAUUCACCCAAGCUGAGUAUUUCGCCGAAGAGGCAAACAGAUUGUACAAGGUUGUGAGACAAUUCAGUUACCAGGUACCAGGUGGACCACACAAGAAAGAUCUCUUGGAAAAUUUGGAUAGAGUACCAACUUACGUUCAACAACUGCAAUUCACCGUGAAGAAUCCUACCGUCGGCAAAGCCGCCACUUUUACAAAAGUCGACAAUGUCAUACAAGAAACGAAAAAUCUCAUGAAUGUGAUCUCGAAGGUGGUCACAACGUGUUUCGUCUGCGCCACAAAGCACAAUCUCAUCAUGCCGCAAUACAUGGAGCUCAGCCCGACGACGGUGCCCGGCCAGGCCGAAGAGGAUUGUUUGUAUCCGAUUAGCCCGCAAUUGUUACCCUCCACGAGCCCUUACGUGCAACCCCAUCCACUCACGUCCGCGCAAUUUCACAAUAUCCUAAAACCACCCCCUAGCCUGAGCCUAUCCCUACUCCCCUUCAAUUACAGCCCGGGACAUCCCAAUGUCGGGCUGUCCCGGAACUCUGGCUCCUUCGUGCAUUCGUCCGUCUUACCGUAUACGACGCCCGGAACGCAGCAGCCACCCUACUGCCUACAGAAUCUGCAGCUCCUCCAGCUGCAGCUGCACCAUGCACAACUGCAGCACUUAAGACACGCAACGCUACCGAGAUAAUAGCAGCCUUGUGUAAUACGUCGUGCCGUAGCACGUGGCACGUGACACUGUCGUUUCACGCGCACGCACGAACACGUCGAGAACACUACACGUUCUUCGUACAGUACAACCUGGAUUUCCGAGGUCUGUCGGCGCGCGGGGCCGGCGGCUCGCCGUACAGGGGCGGAGAGGGCGGG